UUCGGCUUUUGUUGGUAUUUAAAAGUCCAUUGGAGAUUAUGGGGUCGUGUGACAAGCGGUCGGGCGUGUUGCUUUUGGUCUUCACGGCCAGGGCGCCGCCCGUCGCCCCCGGAAAAGAUUUCUGUGCGCCGGCGUCGUAUGCGAGACUUCGGUCCCGUAUCGUCCCGCGUACGCCUUUUUCGGCUCGCGGCAUCCAGGAAUGAAGGAGGGUAGUCCGGGGGAGAACGUAUUGGUGCGUCAGAGGUGAAAUUCUUGGACCGCACCAGGACGGACUACAGCGAAGGCAUUCUUCAAGAAUACCUUCCUCAAUCAAGAACCAAAGUGUGGGGAUCGAAGAUGAUUAGAGACCAUUGUAGUCCACACUGCAAACGAUGACACCCAUGAAUUGGGGAGUUUUUGGUCGCAGGCAGGAAAAACUGGUGAUAUCGGGUUCGUCCCAUAUCUCCUUUUCUCCUUGCCUCGCCAAUAAUAUCAAAUUUACGUGCAUAUUCUUUUAGGCCCUUUUCCUCCUUUGUGGGGAGGGGUUUUGACGGGAAUAUCCUCAGCACGUUACUUGACUUCUUCACGCGAAAGCUUUGAGGU
rnacentral:rRNA from 1 species